rnacentral:rRNA from 1 species
GAUGAACGCUGGCGGCGUGCCUAAUACAUGCAAGUCGAGCGAACGGACGAGAAGCUUGCUUCUCUGAUGUUAGCGGCGGACGGGUGAGUAACACGUGGAUAACCUACCUAUAAGACUGGGAUAACUUCGGGAAACCGGAGCUAAUACCGGAUAAUAUUUUGAACCGCAUGGUUCAAAAGUGAAAGACGGUCUUGCUGUCACUUAUAGAUGGAUCCGCGCUGCAUUAGCUAGUUGGUAAGGUAACGGCUUACCAAGGCAACGAUGCAUAGCCGACCUGAGAGGGUGAUCGGCCACACUGGAACUGAGACACGGUCCAGACUCCUACGGGAGGCAGCAGUAGGGAAUCUUCCGCAAUGGGCGAAAGCCUGACGGAGCAACGCCGCGUGAGUGAUGAAGGUCUUCGGAUCGUAAAACUCUGUUAUUAGGGAAGAACAUAUGUGUAAGUAACUGUGCACAUCUUGACGGUACCUAAUCAGAAAGCCACGGCAACUACGUG